UACGUAGGUGGCAAGCGUUGUCCGGAUUUACUGGGCGUAAAGGAUGCGUAGGCGGACAUUUAAGUCAGGUGUGAAAUACCCGAGCUUAACUUGGGUGCUGCAUUUGAAACUGGGUGUCUAGAGUGCAGGAGAGGUAAGUGGAAUUCCUAGUGUAGCGGUGAAAUGCGUAGAGAUUAGGAAGAACACCAGUGGCGAAGGCGACUUACUGGACUGUAACUGACGCUGAGGCAUGAAAGCGUGGGGAGCAAACAGG
rnacentral:rRNA from 1 species